rnacentral:lncRNA from 1 species
AAAAUUAGGCUGGAAUACUAUUAAUAGAAAAACGCUCUUUUUACUAUCAAGUUUUUAACCCUUAGAUGAAAAAUUAUAGGGUCAGGAUGAUAUUAGUCGGUUAGAGUUGAGUGGUCCCCCUAGGGUUGAGUGGUCCCCACUAGGUUAUAGUAUUUAAUCCAAUGGUUAGAAAUAAUGAAAAGAGUUGAUCCAAAGGCUAAAAAACUGGUAGCAACAAUGAGAUUUUGCUACUAAUAGUAGCCCAGUCCAACUAUAUAUAUAUAUAUAUGAGAUCCCUGGUGUACAGCUAUGGAGGCUUGUCGGCAGCUCUGGAGAGUGUCGGGACAAGUCCGAGUCGCGUUGGCGUCAAAUAGACGCAAAACGGACUUCGUGCGACGCGAGGGCAGCUUAUAGCGAAGAAAUCUGCAAAACAGCAGAUUUCUCUACUUGCUGUACCG